rnacentral:rRNA from 1 species
AACGAACGCUGGCGGCAUGCCUAACACAUGCAAGUCGAACGAGAUCUUCGGGUCUAGUGGCGCACGGGUGCGUAACGCGUGGGAAUCUGCCCUUUGGUUCGGAAUAACAGUUGGAAACGACUGCUAAUACCGGAUGAUGACGAAAGUCCAAAGAUUUGUCGCCAGAGGAUGAGCCCGCGUAGGAUUAGCUAGUUGGUGUGGUAAAGGCGCACCAAGGCGACGAUCCUUAGCUGGUCUGAGAGGAUGAUCAGCCACACUGGGACUGAGACACGGCCCAGACUCCUACGGGAGGCAGCAGUGGGGAAUACUGGACAAUGGGCGAAAGCCUGAUCCAGCAAUGCCGCGUGAGUGAUGAAGGCCUUAGGGUUGUAAAGCUCUUUUACCCGAGAUGAUAAUGACAGUACCGGGAGAAUAAGCUCCGGCUAACUCCGUGCCAGCAGCCGCAGUAA